UACGAAGGGGGCUAGGCGUUGUUCGGAAUUACUGGCGUAAAGGCGCAACGUAGGCGGACUAUUAAGUCAGGGGUGAAAGUCCUGGAGCUCAACUCCAGAACUGCCUUUGAUACUGGCGAUCUUGAGUCCGGGAGAGGUGAGUGGAACUCCGAGUGUAGAGGUGAAAUUCGUAGAUAUUCGGAAGAACACCAGUGGCGAAGGCGGCUCACUGGCCCGGUACUGACGCUGAGGUGCGAAAGCGUGGGGGAGCAAACAGGG
rnacentral:rRNA from 1 species